rnacentral:rRNA from 1 species
CCUACGGGCGGCUGCAGUGGGGAAUAUUGGGCAAUGGGCGCAAGCCUGACCCAGCAACGCCGCGUGAAGGAAGAAGGCUUUCGGGUUGUAAACUUCUUUUCUCAGGGACGAAGAAAGUGACGGUACCUGAGGAAUAAGCCACGGCUAACUACGUGCCAGCAGCCGCGGUAAUACGUAGGCGGCAAGCGUUAUCCGGAUUUAUUGGGGGUAAAGGGCGUGUAGGCGGGAGCGCAAGUCAGAUGUGAAAACUCAGGGCUCAACCCUGAGCCUGCAUUUGAAACUGUGUUGCUUGAGUGCUGGAGAGGCAAUCGGAAUUCCGUGUGUAGCGGUGAAAUGCGUAGAUAUACGGAGGAACACCAGUGGCGUAAGCGCUUUACUGGGCCGUAAUUGACACUGAGGAACGAAAGCCGGGGUAGCAAAUGGGAUUAGAUACCCUAGUAGUC